AUUUUGUUAUUGUUUUAUCUGCAGGUGGCAGCAGGGUUGCCUCAUUUCUUCUGGGGUUGUUGCAUUAGCUUUGAGGGAAUGAAAGAUCAAAAGCUUGAUAGAAAUAUAAAGAUACAAGGCCCUUCUUGAUUAAUCAGGUCUAGGGAUUUGAAUUAGUACGUUGCUUCAUGCUAUGAAUAGAUUAGAUUACAUAAGUUCAUAAGGAAGAAAAUUUGAAAGAUGGUGACUGAAGAUAUAUAUUGAAGAUUAGGCCAAGUAUGUAUGUCUAUUGUCAUCUAGGAUUACAUAAGAUUAGAAAGUAUAACUAGGAAUUACUUACUGGAAUGUGCUUGUAGUCAAGUAUAUUGUAACGAGUAAUAGAUGCAAUGACAUUUGUUUUGGGAUUGUAAAGAUGAUUUGUAUGUAAAUGUCUUCUUUUCGU